CAGAGUACCACAGGAACUUAGUGCUGAACUGGGAACUGAUCCUUAUACACAGCUACCAACAAUGAAUAUUUCUAAAUGGGAAGGAACACCACACCUAGUAAAGGCGUUUAUCUAUUAUAGCAAUGACGGUGGAUGCGGUGUAUUUACAUACAAUACUACAAAUGGAGAAAAGAAGUAUGAGCUACACGUGAAGGUGGAAGCAUAUCGCGUAGACGAAAAUUUCGAGCCAGUUUUUAAGAAGUGCCUGGAGGCGUAUAAUGACUAUACCGCUCGUGACGACACAAUCAAAACUAUGUGCGCGGCGUCGUGUUA